rnacentral:rRNA from 1 species
UACGGAGGGGGCGAGCGUUGUCCGAAGUUACUGGGCGUAAAGCGCGCGUAGGCGGGUUGGUAAGUCCGCUGUGAAAGCCCGGGGCUCAACUCCGGAGGGUCGGUGGAUACUGCCAGUCUUGAAGUUGCUAGGGGGAGAUGGAAUUACCGGUGUAGCGGUGAAAUGCGUAGAUAUCGGUAGGAACACCAGUGGCGAAGGCGGGCUACUGGGCCGAUACUGACGCUGAUGCGCGAAAGCCAGGGGAGCGAACGGG